ensembl:lncRNA
GGGUUGAGGGUGCUAGGGGUUGGGGGGUCUGUAGGGCAGGAUGUUGUGCUGUAGGAGAUUGUGGGGGCCUGAGGGAGGAUAUAGGGUGUCUGUGGGGAUAUAGGGGAGAUAUGGAGUCUAGAAGGGUUCUAGGGGGAUAUGAGGCUGGAUAUGGGAGAGUGUGGGGGGCUCUGGAGGGAGUCUAGGGCCAGUGUGGGUCUGUGGGGAGCUAUAAGGGGAGAUUGGGCUUUAGGGGCUGGGGGACUGUAGGGAGGGUCUUAGGGCUGUAGAGGGGACAUGGGGUUCUAUGGGGCUGUAGGGAGCAGGGGAAUAUUAUGACGCUGUAGGGGGCUAUUGGGGGAGCUAUAUGGUUCUAUGGGGAGGCUAUAGGAGCUUUAUAGGUGGUUAUGGGGCUUUAGGGAGCUGUGGGUGGUCUGUAGGAGGGUUCUAGUAGGGUAGGAGGCUAUAGGGGGCUGUGGAGGGGAUAUAGGGAGAUAUGGGGCAGUAGUGAAUUUUUAGGGGGUUGUGGCGGGCUGUAAGAGUGUAUAGGAUGAUAGGGGGCCAGGGGGGGUCUGUAGAGAGGGAUGUUAUGCUGGAGAAGGUAUGGGAGGCUAAAAUGGGCCUUUGGGGGUUACAGAGGGGCUGUGGUGGGCUAUUUGGGGAUAUAGGGAGAUAUGAGGCUAUAGGAAGUGUUUGGAGGAUGUGGUCCUCUAAGGGGCUGUGUGGGUCCAUAGGAUGAUCUGGAGCUAUAGGGUGAUCUCUAAAGGGAUGUGGGGCUAGAAGGCUCUCCCUUCCUUCUUUCCCCCCUUUCCACAGCAGGGAGGGUGAAAUGCUAGUCAUGAAAUUGAAACUGGAACUGAAGUUGUCUUGGAAUAGAAUAUGAUGCUUUUGUGGUCUUCCAUCUGAAACGUGUUUUCUCCUUGGGCUUGAGGUAAUCUGUUUAUGUUUAAUGAUUAUGGUUAAUAAUCUAAUCAUGUUUCAUAAUGCCUUUUGAAAAGGUUUCAGUCUCCAUUCUGCUGAUCCGAAAGAAAGAAGGCGGCUUUUGGAGGACUUGAUCAUCGCGAGUCGAGCUGCUGCUGAACCUCCCCUUCCAACAUCCAGCAGGUGAGGACGCUGUGCAUCUCAGCCCUCCCUCCCUGCACUAUAGCAGC